rnacentral:rRNA from 1 species
UACGUAGGGGGCAAGCGUUGUCCGGAUUUAUUGGGCGUAAAGCGCACGCAGGCGGUCUUUCGCGUUUUGCGUGACAGGUGGGGGCUUAACUCCCACAGGCCUCAGAAGACGGGAAGACUUGAGGGCUUCAGAGGGAUGCGGAAUUCCAGGUGUAGCGGUGAAAUGCGUAGAUAUCUGGAGGAACACCGGUGGCGAAGGCGGCAUCCUGGACCGGUAUUGACGCUGAGGCGCGAAAGCUAGGGGAGCGAACAGG